rnacentral:piRNA from 2 species
UGCCUUCAGGAUAAAGUCCACACUCCUUAGU